rnacentral:rRNA from 1 species
UACGAAGGGGGCUAGCGUUGCUCGGAAUUACUGGGCGUAAAGCGCGCGUAGGCGGCUGAUUAAGUCGGGUGUGAAAGCCCCGGGCUCAACCUGGGAAUUGCAUUCGAUACUGAUUGUCUAGAGUAUGAGAGAGGGAGGUAGAAUUCCACGUGUAGCGGUGAAAUGCGUAGAUAUGUGGAGGAAUACCGGUGGCGAAGGCGGCCUCCUGGCUUAAUACUGACGCUGAGGUGCGAAAGCGUGGGGAGCAAACAGG